UGGGGAAUUUUGCGCAAUGGGGGGAACCCUGACGCAGCAACGCCGCGUGCGGGAUGAAGGCCUUCGGGUUGUAAACCGCUUUCAGCAGGGAAGAUAGUGACGGUACCUGCAGAAGAAGCCCCGGCUAACUACGUGCCAGCAGCCGCGGUAAUACGUAGGGGGCGAGCGUUAUCCGGAUUCAUUGGGCGUAAAGCGCGCGUAGGCGGCCCGUCAAGCGGAACCUCUAACCCGAGGGCUCAACCCCCGGUCGGGUUCCGAACUGGCAGGCUCGAGUUUGGUAGAGGAAGAUGGAAUUCCCGGUGUAGCGGUGGAAUGCGCAGAUAUCGGGAAGAACACCGAUGGCGAAGGCAGUCUUCUGGGCCAUCAACUGACGCUGAGGCGCGAAAGCUGGGGGAGCGAACAGG
rnacentral:rRNA from 1 species